AUUGAACGCUGGCGGCAGGCCUAACACAUGCAAGUCGAGCGGUUGACGGGAGCUUGCUCCCUGAUUCAGCGGCGGACGGGUGAGUAAUGCCUAGGAAUCUGCCUAUUAGUGGGGGACAACGUUUCGACAGGAACGCUAAUACCGCAUACGUCCUACGGGAGAAAGCAGGGGACCUUCGGGCCGUGCGCUAAUAGAUGAGCCUAGGUCGGAUUAGCUUGUUGGUGAGGGAAUGGCUCACCAAGACGACGAUCCGUAACUGGUCUGAGAGGAUGAUCAGUCACACUGGAACUGAGACACGGUUCAGACUCCUACGGGAGGCAGCAGGGGGGAAUAUUGGACAAUGGGCGAAUGCCUGAUCCAGCCAUGCCGCGUGUGUGAAGAAGGUCUUCGGAUUGUAAAGCACUUUAAGUUGGGAGGAAGGGUUGUAGAUUAAUACUCUGCAAUUUUGACGUUACCGACAGAAUAAGCACCGGCUAACUCUGUGCCAGCCGCCGCCGUAAAAC
rnacentral:rRNA from 1 species